rnacentral:rRNA from 1 species
AACGCGAAGAACCUUACCUGGUCUUGACAUCCACGGAAGUUUUCAGAGAUGAGAAUGUGCCUUCGGGAACCGUGAGACAGGUGCUGCAUGGCUGUCGUCAGCUCGUGUUGUGAAAUGUCGGGUUAAGUCCCGCAACGAGCGCAACCCUUAUCCUUUGUUGCCAGCGGUCCGGCCGGGAACUCAAAGGAGACUGCCAGUGAUAAACUGGAGGAAGGUGGGGAUGACGUCAAGUCAUCAUGGCCCUUACGACCAGGGCUACACGCGUGCUACAAUGGCGCAUACAAAGAGAAGCGACCUCGCGAGAGCAAGCGGACCUCAUAAAGUGCGUCGUAGUCCGGACUGGAGUCUGCAACUCGACUCCAUGAAGUCGGUAUCGCUAGUAAUCGUGGAUCAGAAUGCCACGGUGAAUACGUUCCCGGGCCUUGUACACACCG